AACUGUCGAUAAUCAUUAAUCCAAUAUAAAUUAGCCCCAUUGUCUUGUUCAAUGACCAGCGAAGUACUAUUUUUAUAAUCAUAACGGAUAAAUCAAAACGUUAAUUCGAUCCGGCCGAUAAAGCACCCUUACAAGUGAACCGCUCCUCUCCCUCUCCCCUUUUUGACUGCACCUCUAAACGAAACCAAAAACCCCAGAAGAAAAAAUAUCCUCAAUUCAAUGCUUCGAAUUUUCUCUGAUUUUGUUUCCUUUUUAGAUCUAUUUCUUACGGCUUUUCCUUUGAUACUUACUGCCCGUAUAUAGUAAAUAAACUGCCUUUAGAUGUUUUUGUUGGAUAAAAGAGAAUUGGGAAAUUCCUGGUUUUAUUAUUCCUUUUUGUUUUUGUCUGAAGGAUCUUUUUAGGGUUUUUAAUAUAUUUGAUAUGGCUACUACAGAAGCGUUAUCUGUGAUUCCUGCUUCUGUUUUGCGUAAUCUCUCUGAUAAGUUGUACGAGAAGCGCAAAAAUGCCGCCCUUGAGUUGGAAGGGAUAGUGAAGCAAUUGGCUGUGGCGGGUGAUCACG